UACGAAGGGGGCUAGCGUUGCUCGGAAUCACUGGGCGUAAAGCGCACGUAGGCGGCUUACUAAGUCAGGGGUGAAAUCCUGGAGCUCAACUCCAGAACUGCCUUUGAUACUGGUGAGCUUGAGUCCGGAAGAGGUGAGUGGAACUGCGAGUGUAGAGGUGAAAUUCGUAGAUAUUCGCAAGAACACCAGUGGCGAAGGCGGCUCACUGGUCCGGUACUGACGCUGAGGUGCGAAAGCGUGGGGAGCGAACAGG
rnacentral:rRNA from 1 species